rnacentral:rRNA from 1 species
UGAGUAAUGUCUGGGAAACUGCCUGAUGGAGGGGGAUAACUACUGGAAACGGUAGCUAAUACCGCAUAACGUCGCAAGACCAAAGAGGGGGACCUUCGGGCCUCUUGCCAUCAGAUGUGCCCAGAUGGGAUUAGCUAGUAGGUGGGGUAAUGGCUCACCUAGGCGACGAUCCCUAGCUGGUCUGAGAGGAUGACCAGCCACACUGGAACUGAGACACGGUCCAGACUCCUACGGGAGGCAGCAGUGGGGAAUAUUGCACAAUGGGCGCAAGCCUGAUGCAGCCAUGCCGCGUGUGUGAAGAAGGCCUUCGGGCUGUAAAGCACUUUCAGCGAGGAGGAAGGUGGUGAGCUUAAUACGCUCAUCAAUUGACGUUACUCGCAGAAGAAGCACCGGCUAACUCCGUGCCAGCAGCCGCGGUAAUACGGAGGGUGCAAGCGUUAAUCGGAAUUACUGGGCGUAAAGCGCACGCAGGCGGUUUGUUAAGUCAGAUGUGAAAUCCCCGGG